CGGUAAUACGGAGGGGGCUAGCGUUGUUCGGAAAUACUGGGCGUAAAGCGCACGUAGGCGGCGAUUCAAGUCAGAGGUGAAAGCCCGGGGCUCAACCCCGGAACUGCCUUUGAAACUAGAUUGCUAGAAUCCUGGAGAGGUGAGUGGAAUUCCGAGUGUAGAGGUGAAAUUCGUAGAUAUUCGGAAGAACACCAGUGGCGAAGGCGACUCACUGGACAGGUAUUGACGCUGAGGUGCGAAAGCGUGGGGAGCAAACAGGAUUAGGUACCCUGGUAGUCCACGCCGUAAACGAUGAUAACUAGCUGUUCGGGUUCAUAGAACUUGAGUGGCGCAGCUAACGCAUUAAGUUAUCCGCCUGGGGAGUACGGUCGCAAGAUUAAA
rnacentral:rRNA from 1 species